GGCACUAUAGCCAAGUGGUUAAGGCGACAGAUUCGAAUUGAAGCUUAUCUGUUUCCCUAUGGGAGCGAGGGUUCAAAUCCCUCUGGUGUCG